GUUUAGAACUGUGUGCAUUUGUUUUGGAAGAAUUUGGGCUGUUUAGGCUAAAAUCCAUUAUGAUUGGACAGAAUAUGAACACACACAUCCAAUACUUCAAAGAUAUUAUGUUUGUGGAGGCAGAGAUUUUGAUUGCAUCCACUGUUUAGAAUACAUCCUUAAGGGAAGCAGACUGCCGCCUUUACCCAAUGAUAUAAUGAUUAAUCAUAACUAUAUCUGUUUUGUACCAAAUAGAAAGAGCAUUGAUUCAGGUCAUUUUCAAAUCCACUGGCAUACAUUGUACUAUACAUGCAACCUUUUCAAACUUUACAUUUAAGAUUUUAUAAAGGAAAUAUCUUAAUGUUUCACAUGUUUACCUUUCACUGUGCUAUGUAAUUCAUUAUACCUGCCAUUAUGCCAGUCUUCCUGAACAUAAUUUGUUUUCUGCAAUUUCAUUGGCCAAGAGGCUUAAUCCUGGGUUAUCAGAUUGAGCAUUUAUAUUUAGUAUCCCAUUGAUUUUGUCAGCCCUAUAUAAGGAGCUGACUCAGAUUUACUCACUCUGCUAGGUUAAAGAACUCUAAGGUUUGUACUUUUCACAUGAAUUUCGUGUUCGCCUCUUAUCUUUUACAUAGAGUAGGAAAUGAACAUAACAUUGAGUUAGGGAACUAUUUAGAUUUUACAUUAUAAUAUGUAAAUACCUUAGCAGAGUCAAUUUACUUGGUUCAGGGUAGUAUCAGAUAUUACUUUUUCAGAGUUUAAGUGUUUAGGCUAUCUCAAUGUUUCUAUAGUUAGCCUUGUCCUAUGUUACUUUUAGAUGUAUGGAAGCCUUUUAGUGUUAUAACACUAUAUUUAUGCCCCCAUUCAAAGAAGAGGGACAUAUUGGUUUGCACCUGUUGGUCGGUCGGUAGACCACAUGUUGUCCGCUUAAUAUCUUAAGAACCAUUCACUUGAUCGUAAUAUAUUUCAUAUGUGGGUUGGUUAUGAAAA